rnacentral:tRNA from 1 species
CCCUUGUUAGCUCAGUUGGUAGAGCGCUCCACUUGUAAUGGAGAGGUCCCGGGUUCGAUACCCGGACCAGGCG